CUACUGGACCCACGUAGUUUGAGUGCUGCAUGGACAAAUUAUUGAUGCCCUAUAAACUAAUGACUUUUAACCCGUUGUGGUUCUGAGUUUUGGGAUGUGAAUGUCUUUCGGUUGACUAGUGGUACACCCACUUCGAAGAGAUCUUCUCACUUCUGCAGAAAUUUUCACUGAAGGAAGUGGCGUGGCAAUAUCGUUGAUGCGCUUAAACGCCAUAACUGCAUGCAUCGCAUAUAUCAUGAUAUAAAUUAAAGUUCCUUCGCCACCGGAAGCUUCUUCAAUUCCUUCAUACACGGGGUAAUGUGAUCAUAUUAUAGUUGUAUCAGUGAGCACAAUAUAUGAAAAUUUACUGACAAGUUAAUCUUGUCAGGGUGUUCGAACCUGUCCGUAUACUUAAAAUUAAAAUAAUUAUAGGCUACAGUCAUUAUAUUUAUUUAUCAGGCAAAUCUUUACGAUUCCAACAAACGAUAGAUUUUCCAGACUUACAGGAAAUUUAGCCCCUAGAGUUUAUCAUUUCUUAUCUAACUUAUCUUUCAAAUUAUUGAUAAAGUACAAAUAUAUCUACGCCGCCUGUUCAUACAAAAU